UACAGAGAGUGCAAGCGUUAAUCGGAGUUACUGGGCGUAAAGGGCGCGUAGGUGGAUGAUAACGUCAGAUGUGAAAUAGCCCUGCUUAACGGGGCGAGGUCAUCUGAAACGGGUUGUCUAGAGUGAGAGAGAGGUCAGAGGAAUUUCCGGUGUAGCGGUGAAAUGCGUAGAUAUCGGAAGGAACAUCAGUGGCGAAGGCGUCUGACUGGCUCUUAACUGACACUGAGGCGCGAAAGCGUGGGUAGCGAAC
rnacentral:rRNA from 1 species